rnacentral:rRNA from 1 species
AUUGAACGCUGGCGGCAUGCUUUACACAUGCAAGUCGAACGGCAACGCGGCCUUCGGCCUGGCCGCGUGGGGCGAACGGGUGUGAUAUACCUCGAAACGUCCCCAGGUGUGGGGGAAAUAUCCGCAAAAGCAGGUAUAAUACCCCAUACUCCCUGGGGGAGAAAGGGGGGGCUCAUCGCCCCGCGCGCUAUUGGCGCGCCCGAUGGCAGAUUAGCUAGUUGGUGGGGUAAAGGCCCACCAAGGCCACGAUCUGUAGCUGGUCUGAGAGGACGACCAGCCACACUGGGACUGAGACACGGCCCAGACUCCUACGGGAGGCAGCAGUGGGGAAUUUUGGACAAUGGGCGCAAGCCUGAUCCAGCAAUGCCGCGUGUGUGAAGAAGGCCUUCGGGUUGUAAAGUGCUUUUGGACGGAACGAAAAGGAUUGGGCUAAUACCAGGGGCUAAUGACGGUACCGGAAGAAUAAGCACCGGCUAACUACGUG